GAUGAACGCUGGCGGCGUGCCUAAUACAUGCAAGUCGAGCGAACAGACGAGGAGCUUGCUCCUCUGACGUUAGCGGCGGACGGGUGAGUAACACGUGGAUAACCUACCUAUAAGACUGGGAUAACUUCGGGAAACCGGAGCUAAUACCGGAUAAUAUAUUGAACCGCAUGGUUCAAUAGUGAAAGACGGUUUUGCUGUCACUUAUAGAUGGAUCCGCGCCGCAUUAGCUAGUUGGUAAGGUAACGGCUUACCAAGGCAACGAUGCGUAGCCGACCGGAGAGGGUGAUCGGCCACACUGGAACUGAGACACGGUCCAUACUCCUACGGGAGGCAGCAGUAGCGAAUCUGCCGCAAUGGGCGAAAGCCUGACGGAGCAACGCCGAGUGAGUGAUGAAGGCCUUCGGAUCGUAAAACUCUGUUAUGAGGGAAGAACAAAUGUGUAAGUAACUAUGCACGGCUUGACGGUACCUAAUCAGAAAGCCACGGCUAACUACGUG
rnacentral:rRNA from 1 species